AGCCUAACCCUAUAGAGAAAUCUGCAGGCAUGGUGAAAAGUCCAAUCAGACAUAAAGAACCCAUCAUAGGGUCGUCUGAUUGGCUAUAUCGGGAAACCGGUAUAAGAGACUUCGGUCUCU
rnacentral:sRNA from 1 species